AAAUUAUGUCAUUUAUGGGUGAUCCAUGAGGAUUGGCAAAAAACUUGUAGUAACUACUUGGGUGAAAUUUAAAAAUAUCCAAAAAGCAAAUGUAUACAAUUUUUAAAAGACCCAAUUGUAUUCUUCCAUGUAGAGUAAAGAAAACACCAAUUCAAGAGGGACCAAAUUUUUAUACUGAUGCAAACAAAAUGGGAACGGCAAGUUAUAAGCCAGAUAAAAUUAGCAAGGUGAUCAAAAGUCUGUAUACAUUGGUUCAAAAGUCAGAAUUGUAUGCUAUCCUUAUGGUAUUAUUAGAUUUCCCUAACCUCUUAAAGUAAUUACUGAUUCCCUGUCAUUUUGCAUAUAGAGUAUGCUGAAUUUGUACCUGAUAACUCCAAAUUAACUUUGUUAUUUAUACAAUUGCAACAGGCCAUAAGAAGUAGAAAUUACCCAUUAUAUAUUACACAUAAUUGGUCUCCUACAGGUUCGCCUGGUCCAUUAGCUCAAGGAAAUGAUGAAAUUGACAAAUUACUAAUAGGAAAUGUGUUAGAAGCCUCAAAAUUUCAUGGAAAACACCAUGUUAAUGGGAAAGGUUUAAAGAAAAAAAAUUCCAUCAUUUGACAACAGGCCAAAGAAAUAAUAAAGUGUCCUACAUGUCCUCUGUACAAUCAAAUUCCAUUACCUGUUGAUAGUAAUCAUAGGGGCAACCAAAGAAAUGACAUCUGACAGAUGGAUGUUUUCCAUUUUGCAGAAUUUGGAAAACAAAGUCAUGUCCACCAUACCACUGAUACAUACUCAGGGUUUCAAUGGGCAACUGCCUCAAGUUCUAAAAGGCUGAUUGUAUAAUUAC
rnacentral:lncRNA from 1 species